AUGACCAGCCACACUGGAACUGAGACACGGUCCAGACUCCUACGGGAGGCAGCAGUGGGGAAUAUUGCACAAUGGGCGCAAGCCUGAUGCAGCCAUGCCGCGUGUGUGAAGAAGGCCUUCGGGUUGUAAAGCACUUUCAGCGGGGAGGAAGGCGGUGAGGUUAAUAACCUCAUCGAUUGACGUUACCCGCAGAAGAAGCACCGGCUAACUCCGUGCCAGCAGCCGCGGUAAUACGGAGGGUGCAAGCGUUAAUCGGAAUUACUGGGCGUAAAGCGCACGCAGGCGGUCUGUCAAGUCGGAUGUGAAAUCCC
rnacentral:rRNA from 1 species